CUUAGAGUUUGAUCCUGGCUCAGGAUGAACGCUAGCGGCAGGCCUAAUACAUGCAAGUCGAACGGUAAGGUCUCUUCGGAGAUACACGAGUGGCGCACGGGUGAGUAACGCGUAUGCAACCUACCUAUAACUGGGGAAUAGCCCUUCGAAAGGAGGAUUAAUACCCCAUAAUGUUUCCGAGAGGCAUCUCUCGGUUCCUAAAACUCCGGUGGUUAUAGAUGGGCAUGCGUGGCAUUAGUUUGUUGGUGAGGUAACGGCUCACCAAGACUACGAUGUCUAGGGGGUCUGAGAGGAUGAUCCCCCACACUGGUACUGAGACACGGACCAGACUCCUACGGGAGGCAGCAGUAAGGAAUAUUGGGCAAUGGAGGAAACUCUGACCCAGCCAUGCCGCGUGCAGGAUUGACAGCUCUAGUAGUUGUAAACUGCUUUUAUAUGGGAAGAAAAGCAUCUACGUGUGGGUGUCUGACGGUACCAUAAGAAUAAGGACCGGCUAACUCCGUGCCAGCAGCCGCGGUAAUACGGAGGGUCCAAGCGUUAUCCGGAUUUAUUGGGUUUAAAGGGUGUGUAGGCGGAAAUAUAAGUCAGUGGUGAAAUCCUGCAGCUUAACUGCAGAACUGCCGCUGAUACUGUGUUUCUUGAGUAUAGUUGAAGUGGGCGGAAUGUGUCAUGUAGCGGUGAAAUGCAUAGAUAUGACACAGAACACCGAUUACGAAGGCAGCUCACUAAACUAUUACUGACGCUGAGGCACGAAAGCGUGGGUAGCGAACAGGAUUAGAUACCCUGGUAGUCCACGCCGUAAACGAUGAUUACUCGAUGUUGGCGAUACACUGUCAGCGUCCAAGCGAAAGUGUUAAGUAAUCCACCUGGGGAGUACGGUCGCAAGAUUGAAACUCAAAGGAAUUGACGGGGGCCCGCACAAGCGGAGGAACAUGUGGUUUAAUUCGAUGAUACGCGAGGAACCUUACCUGGGCUUAAAUGUAAGAUGACAGGCUGAGAAAUCAGUCCUUCUUCGGACAUUUUACAAGGUGCUGCAUGGCUGUCGUCAGCUCGUGCCGUGAGGUGUCGGGUUAAGUCCCAUAACGAGCGCAACCCCUAUCUCUAGUUGCCAGCGAGUAAUGUCGGGGACUCUAGAGAAACUGCCUACGCAAGUAGUGAGGAAGGCGGGGAUGACGUCAAGUCAGCACGGCCCUUACGUCCAGGGCUACACACGUGUUACAAUGGCCGGUACAGAGGGCAGCUACCUGGUGACAGGAUGCAAAUCUCUAAAGCCGGUCUCAGUUCGGAUCGAAGUCUGCAACUCGACUUCGUGAAGUUGGAUUCGCUAGUAAUCGCGCAUCAGCCUCGGCGCGGUGAAUACGUUCCCGGGCCUUGUACACACCGCCCGUCAAGCCAUGGAAGCCGAGGGUACCUGAAGUCAGUCGCUGCAAGGCACUGCCUAGGGUAAAAUUGGUAACUGGGGCUAAGUCGUAACAAGGUAACCAAUG
rnacentral:rRNA from 1 species